rnacentral:rRNA from 1 species
ACGAACGCUGGCGGCGUGCCUAAUACAUGCAAGUAGAACGCUGAAGAGAGGAGCUUGCUCUUCUUGGAUGAGUUGCGAACGGGUGAGUAACGCGUAGGUAACCUGCCUUGUAGCGGGGGAUAACUAUUGGAAACGAUAGCUAAUACCGCAUAACAAUGGAUGACCCAUGUCAUUUAUUUGAAAGGGGCAAAUGCUCCACUACAAGAUGGACCUGCGUUGUAUUAGCUAGUAGGUGAGGUAACGGCUCACCUAGGCGACGAUACAUAGCCGACCUGAGAGGGUGAUCGGCCACACUGGGACUGAGACACGGCCCAGACUCCUACGGGAGGCAGCAGUAGGGAAUCUUCGGCAAUGGGGGCAACCCUGACCGAGCAACGCCGCGUGAGUGAAGAAGGUUUUCGGAUCGUAAAGCUCUGUUGUAAGUCAAGAACGAGUGUGAGAGUGGAAAGUUCACACUGUGACGGUAGCUUACCAGAAAGGGACGGCUAACUACGUGCCAGCAGCCGCGGUAAUACGUAGGUCCCGAGCGUUGUCCGGAUUUAUUGGGCGUAAAGCGAGCGCAGGCGGUUUGAUAAGUCUGAAGUUAAAGGCUGUGGCUCAACCAUAGUUCGCUUUGGAAACUGUCAAACUUGAGUGCAGAAGGGGAGAGUGGAAUUCCAUGUGUAGCGGUGAAAUGCGUAGAUAUAUGGAGGAACACCGGUGGCGAAAGCGGCUCUCUGGUCUGUAACUGACGCUGAGGCUCGAAAGCGUGGGGAGCGAACAGGAUUAGAUACCCUGGUAGUCCACGCCGUAAACGAUGAGUGCUAGGUGUUGGAUCCUUUCCGGGAUUCAGUGCCGCAGCUAACGCAUUAAGCACUCCGCCUGGGGAGUACGACCGCAAGGUUGAAACUCAAAGGAAUUGACGGGGGCCCGCACAAGCAGUGGAGUAUGUGGUUUAAUUCGAAGCAACGCGAAGAACCUUACCAGGUCUUGACAUCCCGAUGCUAUUUCUAGAGAUAGAAAGUUACUUCGGUACAUCGGUGACAGGUGGUGCAUGGUUGUCGUCAGCUCGUGUCGUGAGAUGUUGGGUUAAGUCCCGCAACGAGCGCAACCCUUAUUGUUAGUUGCCAUCAUUUAGUUGGGCACUCUAGCAAGACUGCCGGUGACAAACCGGAGGAAGGUGGGGAUGACGUCAAAUCAUCAUGCCCCUUAUGACCUGGGCUACACACGUGCUACAAUGGUUGGUACAACGAGUUGCGAGUCGGUGACGGCAAGCUAAUCUCUUAAAGCCAAUCUCAGUUCGGAUUGUAGGCUGCAACUCGCCUACAUGAAGUCGGAAUCGCUAGUAAUCGCGGAUCAGCACGCCGCGGUGAAUACGUUCCCGGGCCUUGUACACACCGCCCGUCACACCACGAGAGUUUGUAACACCCGAAGUCGGUGAGGUAACCUUUUGGAGCCAGCCGCCUAAGGUGGGAUAGAUGAUUGGGGUG